GCAUCAAUGGGGUAGUGGUAACCUGGGUCGUUGCCAAAAUUACGUAAUUUGUCUGAAUAAGGAAAGUGGUAUGCCCGUUUCGACCCGCCCUGGGUUCGAUUCCCAGUUGAUGCA